ACGAACGCUGGCGGCGUGCUUAACACAUGCCAGUCGCACGGAAAGGCCCUGCUUUUGUGGGGUGCUCGAGUGGCGAACGGGUGAGUAACACGUGAGUAACCUGCCCUUGACUUUGGGAUAACUUCAGGAAACUGGGGCUAAUACCGGAUAGGAGCUCCUGCUGCAUGGUGGGGGUUGGAAAGUUUCGGCGGUUGGGGAUGGACUCGCGGCUUAUCAGCUUGUUGGUGGGGUAGUGGCUUACCAAGGCUUUGACGGGUAGCCGGCCUGAGAGGGUGACCGGCCACAUUGGGACUGAGAGACGGCCCAGACUCCUACGGGAGGCAGCAGUGGGGAAUAUUGCACAAUGGGCGGAAGCCUGAUGCAGCAACGCCGCGUGCGGGAUGACGGCCUUCGGGUUGUAAACCGCUUUCGCCUGUGACGAAGCGUGAGUGACGGUAAUGGGUAAAGAAGCACCGGCUAACUACGUG
rnacentral:rRNA from 1 species